rnacentral:rRNA from 1 species
GUUGAUAUUCCUGUACCACCUCCUCACCAUUUGAGCAAUGGGGGACGCAGGAGGAUAGUAAGCGCGGUAUUGGAUAUCCGCGUCCAAGCAGUUAGGCUGGGAAAUAGGCAAAUCCGUUUCCCAUAAGGCUGAGCUGUGAUGGCGAGCGAAAUAUAGUAGUGAAGUUCCUGAUUCCACACUGCCAAGAAAAGCCUCUAGCGAGGUGAGAGGUGCCCGUACCGCAAACCGACACAGGUAGGCGAGGAGAGAAUCUAAGGUGAUCGAAGAACUCUCGUUAAGGGACUCGGCAAAAUGACCCCGUAACUUCGGGAGAAGGGGUGCUCCGUUAGGGUGCAAGCCCGAGAGAGCCGCUGAAUAGGCCCAGGCGACUGUUUAGCAAAAACACAGGUCUCUACGAAGCCGUGAGGCGAAGUAUAGGGCUGACGCCUGCCCGGUGCUGGAAGUUAAGAGGAGCGCUUAGCGUAAGCGAAGGUGCGAAUUGAAGCCCCAGUAAACGGCGGCCGUAACAAUAACGGUCCUAAGGUAGCGAAAUUCCUUGUCGGGUAAGUUCCGACCCGCACGAAGGCGCAACGAUCUGGGCACUGUCUCAACGAGAGACUCGGUGAAAAAGUACCUGUGAAGAUGCAGGUUCCGCGACAGGACGGAAAGACCCGUGGAGCUUUACUGCAGCCUGAUAUUGAAUGUUGGUACAGCUUGUACAGGAUAGGUAGAGCCUUGAAACCGGAGCGCCAGCUUUGGUGGAGAGCAUCGGUGGGAUACUACCUGGCUGUAUUGACCUUCUAACCGCCGCCCUUAUCGGGCGGGGAGACAGUCAGGUGGGCAGUUUGACUGGGGCGGUCGCCUCCUAAAAGUAACGGAGGCGCCCAAGGUUCCCUCAGAAUGGUUGGAAAUCAUUCGCAGAGUGUAAAGGCACAAGGGAGCUUGACUGCGAGACCCAAGUCGAGCAGGGACGAAAGUCGGGCUUAGUGAUCCGGUGGUUCCGCAUGGAAGGGCCAUCGCUCAACGGAUAAAAGCUACCCCGGGGAUAACAGGCUUAUCUCCCCAAGAGUCCACAUCGACGGGAGGUUUGGCACCUCGAUGUCGGCUCAUCGCAUCCUGGGGCUGUAGUCGGUCCCAAGGGUUGGGCUGUUCGCCCAUUAAAGCGGUACGCGAGCUGGAGUUCAGAACGUCGUGAGACAGUUCGGUCCCUAUCCGUCGCGGGCGCAGGAAAUUUGAGAGGAGCUGUCCUUAGUACGAGAGGACCGGGAUGGACGCACCGCUGGUGUACCAGUUGUUCUGCCAAGGGCAUCGCUGGGUAGCUAUGUGCGGACGGGAUAAGUGCUGAAAGCAUCUAAGCAUGAAGCCCCCUCAAGAUGAGAUUUCCCAUUCCGCAAGGAAGUAAGAUCCCUGAAAGAUGAUCAGGUUGAUAGGUCUGAGGUGGAAGUGUGGCGACACAUGGAGCUGACAGAUACUAAUCGAUCGAGGA